rnacentral:rRNA from 1 species
GAUGAACGCUGGCGGCGUGCCUAAUACAUGCAAGUCGAGCGAACAGACGAGGAGCUUGCUCCUCUGACGUUAGCGGCGGACGGGUGAGUAACACGUGGAUAACCUACCUAUAAGACUGGGAUAACUUCGGGAAACCGGAGCUAAUACCGGAUAAUAUAUUGAACCGCAUGGUUCAAUAGUGAAAGACGGUUUUGCUGUCACUUAUAGAUGGAUCCGCGCCGCAUUAGCUAGUUGGUAAGGUAACGGCUUACCAAGGCGACGAUGCGUAGCCGACCUGAGAGGGUGAUCGGCCACACUGGAACUGAGACACGGUCCAGACUCCUACGGGAGGCAGCAGGAGGGAAUCUGCCGCAAUGGGCGAAAGCCUGACGGAGCAACGCCGCGUGAGUGAUGAAGGUCUGCGGAUCGUAAAACUCUGUUAUUAGGGAAGAACAAAUGUGUAAGUAACUAUGCACGUCUUGACGGUACCUAAUCAGAAAGCCACGGCUAACUACGU